UUUGAUCCUGGCUCAUGAUGAACGCUAGCGGCAGGCUUAACACAUGCGAGUCGAGGGGUAACUGAGGUAGCAAUACCUGCUGACGACCGGCGCCCGGGUGAGUAACGCGUAUGCAACCUACCUCUAACUGAGGCAUAGCCCGGACAAAUCCGGAUUAAUACCUCAUAAUAUUUCGAAUUCGCAUGUUUUCGAGAUUAAAGUUCAGACGGUUAGAGAUGGGCAUGCGUGACAUUAGUUAGUUGGUGAGGUAACGGCUCACCAAGACUGCCAUGUCUAGGGGGUCUGAAAGGAUGGUCCCCCACACUGGUACUGAGACACGGACCAAACUCCUACGGGAGGCGCAGUGAGGAAUAUUGGGCAAUGGACGCAAGUCUGACCCACCCAUGCCGCGUGCAGGAUGACUGCCCUAUGGGUUGUAAACUGCUUUUAUUUGGGAAGAAACCCUCGCUCGUGAGCGGGGCUGACGGUACCAAAAGAAUAAGCAUCGGCUAACUCCGUGCCAGCUGCCGCGGUAAUACGGAGGAUGCAAGCGUUAUCCGGAUUUAUUGGGUUUAAAGGGUGCGUACGCGGAAAUUUAACUCAGUGGUGAAAUCCUACACCUCAACUGUAGAACUGCCAUUGAUACUGAUUUUCUUGAGUAUAGUUGAUGUGGGCGGAAUGUGUAAUGUAUCCGUGAAAUGCUUAGAGAUUACCCACAACACCGAUUGCGUAGGAGCUCACUAAACUAUUACUGACUCUCACGCACGAAAGCGUGGGAGCGAACAGGAUUAGAUACCCUGGUAGUCCACGCCGUAUACGAUGAUCACUCGUUGUUGGCAAUACACUCUCAGCGACUAUGCUAAAGCAUAAGUGAUCCACCUGGUGAGUACGUCGCAGAUUGAACUCAAUGAAUUGAUGCAA
rnacentral:rRNA from 1 species